rnacentral:rRNA from 1 species
AUUGAACGCUGGCGGCAGGCCUAACACAUGCAAGUCGAACGAGUGGCGGACGGGUGAGUAAUUUCUGGGAAACUGCCUGAUGGAUGGGGAUAACUACUGGAAACGGUAGCUAAUACCGCAUACCAUCGGAUGUGCCCAGAUGGGCUUAGCUAUUAGGUGGGGUAAAGGCUCACCUAGUCGACGAUCCCUAGCUGGUCUGAGAGGAUGGCCAGAAACACUGGAACGGAGACACGGUCCAGACUCCUACGGGAGGCAGCAGGGGGGAAUAUUGCAAAAGGGGCGCAAGCCUGAUGCAGCCAUGCCGCGUGUAUGAAGAAGGCCUUCGGGUUGUAAAGUACUUUCAGCGGGGAGGCGUUACCCGCAGAAGAAGCACCGGCUAACUCCGUGCCAGAAGCCGCGGUAAUAC